AAUAAGUACAGUUUUACACUAUUCACGUUGACCAUUCGUCUUAUUUAAAAAUUUUAUAUGAUUAAUAUUUUUAUUGCUAUUAGAUGAUAAAACAUGAAUAGUACUUUAUAUGUGACUAAAUAUUUUUAAAUUUUUCACAAAUUUUUCAAACAAAAUGGACGGUCAAAUGUUGGGUACGGAUAUCCACGGCUGCACUUAUU
rfam:Oryza nivara chromosome 6, whole genome shotgun sequence.